rnacentral:rRNA from 1 species
UACAGAGGGUGCGAGCGUUAAUCGGAAUUACUGGGCGUAAAGCGCAUGUAGGCGGACAUCUAAGUCGGGUGUGAAAUCCCUGGGCUCAACCUAGGAAUUGCAUUCGAUACUGGAUGUCUAGAGUAUGGUAGAGGAAAGUGGAAUUCCCGGUGUAGCGGUGAAAUGCAUAGAUAUCGGGAGGAACACCAGUGGCGAAGGCGGCUUUCGGGACCAAUACUGACGCUUAAGUGCGAAAGCGUGGGGAGCAAACAGG